rnacentral:rRNA from 1 species
UACGUAGGGGGCAAGCGUUGUCCGGAUUUAUUGGGCGUAAAGAGCGUGUAGGCGGUUAUGUAAGUCCGUUGUGAAAACUCGAGGCUCAACCUCGAGACGCCGAUGGAAACCAUCUAACUAGAGUCCGGAAGAGGAGAAUGGAAUUCCUGGUGUAGCGGUGAAAUGCGCAGAUAUCAGGAAGAACACCCGUGGCUAAGGCGGCUAGCUGGCCUGUAACUGACGCUGAGGCGCGAAGGCUAGGGGAGCGAACAGG